rnacentral:rRNA from 1 species
UACGUAGGGAGCGAGCGUUGUCCGGAAUCAUUGGGCGUAAAGAGCAUGUAGGUGGAUCAAUUAGUCUGCUGUGAAAGUCAACGGCUCAACCUUUGAAAGCCGGUGGAUACUGUUGAUCUAGAGUACGGAAGAGGCGAGUGGAAUUCCUGGUGUAGCGGUGGAAUGCGCAGAUAUCAGGAGGAACACCAAUAGCGAAGGCAGCUCGCUGGGACGUUACUGACACUGAGAUGCGAAAGCGUGGGGAGCAAACAGG